AUGGAGGCGCUGGUGGCCACCGCGGUCGGGCCACUGGUUUCCUUGCUGACGAAAAAGGCGUCCAACUCCCUCCUUGAGAAGUACAAGGUGAUGGAGGGAAUGGAGGAGCAGCACAGGAUUCUCAAACGCAAACUUCGGGCCAUCCUCGACGUCAUCAGCGACGCCGAGGAGAAGGCGACGGCCCACAAGGAAGGGGCAAAAGCCUGGCUCCAGGAGCUCAAGACAGUGGCUUAUCAGGCAAGUGAAGUCUUUGAUGAAUUCAAGUACGAAGCACUCCGCCGUGAAGCCAAGAAGAAUGGGCACCUCACCAAGCUUGGCUUUGAUGUGAUAAAACUCCUCCCUACUCACAACCGCAUUGUAUUCCGUAUCAGAAUGGGUCCCAAGCUUCGUCAUAUUCUGCAGUCCAUUGAGGCCCUCAUAACAGAGAUGCAGCGCCUUCAGUUCAACUAUCAACCACAGCCGCCGGUGUCCAAGUUGUGCAGGCACACAGAUUAUGUUAUCAUCGACCCACGAAAAAUUGCCAGUAGAUCCAGAGACAAAGAUAAGAAGAAGAUUGUUGAUACACUACUUGGUCAAGCUAGCAAUGCAGAUCUCGCAGUUGUUCCCAUCGUUGGAAUGGGGGGCCUUGGCAAGACCACAUUAGCGCAACUCAUAUACAAUGAUCCUGAAAUUCAGAAGCAUUUCCAGUUGCUGCUCUGGGUCUGUGUCUCUGAUACCUAUGAUGUGAACUCCCUGGCUAAGAGUAUAGUUGAAGCAUCUCCCGAAAAGAAUGAUAAUACAGAUAAACCCCCACUGGAUAGACUUAAAAAAUUAGUCAGGGGGCAGAGAUAUCUCCUUGUAUUAGAUGAUGUCUGGGACAGAGAGGUCCAUAAGUGGGAAAGUUUGAAGGGUUGUUUGCAGUAUGGUGGCAUGGGUAGUGCAGUAUUGACAACAACUCGUGAUAAACAAGUUCCUGAAAUUAUGGAUGCAAAUAGACCCUACAAUCUCGGUCCUUUGGAGGACAGAUUCUUAAAGGAAAUUAUUGAGGCUAGAGCAUUCAAUUCGAAGAAAGAAAAGGCUCCCGAGCUAGUUGAGAUGGUUGAUCAGAUUGUGAACAGAUGUCGUGGCUCUCCUUUAGCUGCAAGUGCACUGGGCUCUGUACUUCGUACCAAGACCACGGUGAAAGAAUGGAAGGCCAUAGCAUCUAGAAGCAGCAUUUGCACUGAGGAAACUGGAAUCUUGCCAAUACUCAAGCUUAGCUACAACGACCUGCCAUCACACAUGAAGCAGUGCUUUGCUUUUUGUGCUAUAUUUCCCAAGGAUUACAAGAUUGAUGUGGAGAAGCUGAUUCGAUUAUGGAUCGCAAAUGGCUUUAUCCCAGAAGAGGAAGAAGAUAGUCUUGAAACAUGGAAAAGUAAAGAUGUCUCGGGGUAUUAUUCCAUGAGCUUGCCUCGAGGUCAUUUUUUAUGGACAUAG
rnacentral:rRNA from 1 species